rnacentral:lncRNA from 1 species
GAUCGCAAUAAUGAAAUGAUAUGAAUUUGUGAUAAAUGUUCAGCAAUGGGAACUGGCAGGAAAGAACCCAUGAACAUCUUCUACUGACGUUUGGAGUCCACUGCUGAUCAGGUUUCCAUUGCUCCAUGAACAGGUUUACCGUCCAAACCUGGAAUUUCAAUGCUGUUAAAGUGAGGUAAUCUAGUUGUACUACAACAAAUUAAAUGACAAAUAUAUGAACAAAAUCUGUACAUUUUCAUAUUACAGGAUGACCCAGUUAUGUUGUUGUUGGAAAAGUUAAAUAAUUCUUGUAAUGUCUUGUCUGAGAUAAACUAAUUUUUUUAACAUUCCUUCCAACUUAUGCAUUCCAUGAUUUUAGGUUUCCCUUUUUCUCUUCCUCUGGGGAGAAGAAUGAAGAAGAUUCCCCAUCUAUUCCCUUUAGGUUGCCUAUUAACAAGGAAAGAUGUUGGAUCUACCAGAGAUGAAGCCAAGACUGACGUGUUUUGAAUCAAAGGAAGUGAAGACAGUAUAAAGAAAGUUGAUAAUAUAAUAAGAACAUGUUGUCUUCCUUGCAGGGUCCACAAACCAUUAAUCACAUCCUGUUACAAACAAAAAGCAAGGAAAAUUGGAACAGAAGAGAAUAAAAUCAAAAUUCAAUAAGUUUAAAGAAAUUCU